UAUGUUGAUGGAGCCAUCCGUGUGCUUGAUCGGAUCUUGUUGGACGGUCCAAUUUUGUCGGAUCUUCUGCCACCUAUUGAAGUACUCCACGCUACUCCAUUGGUCACAGAGGGCCUCCGAUAUGUCUGUUUGCAUCUAGUGAUCCCUGUAGGACCUCUAGUUUGAUGUUGACUGAAAAUUAGAAUGCUCGAUAGUGGAUUGCCUAAGGCUAUAUAGCCCAUCUCGAACUAAAAGUCAAGUCGACUUGGUAGGCAUGCCAGCC
rnacentral:lncRNA from 1 species